rnacentral:tRNA from 1 species
UGUUCUGUGGCUUAGUUGGUUAAAGCGCUGGACAAACGAUACGGAGACGUGAGUUCGAAUCCCACCAAAACAA